AUAAAAACCAACCUUAUAAAACUAGGAGUACAAUCAGCCCUCUAUACCUGUUGGUUCCACAUCUGCGCAUUCAACCAACCACAGAUCAAAAAUAUUCAAAAAAUAAAAGAUAAUACAAAUUUUUAAAUGCAGUAUAACAACUAUUUAUAUAGCAACCUAAUGAAGAGAAUCUGUAAUAAACCUACAACUAACAUCAUUCUCUCUUUUUUUUCUUUUUUCAAGACAGGUCUUGCUCUGUUGCCCAGGUUGGAGUAAAAUGGUACAAUCACAGUUCACUGCAGCCUCGACCUCUCCAGUUCAAGUGAUCCUCCUGACUCUGCCUUCUGAGUGGCUGAGACUAUAGGCAUGCAUCAUUAUGCCUGGCUUUUUAAAAAACUUUUUGUAAAGAUGGGGUCUCCCUAUGUUGCCCAGGCUGAUCUUGAACACCUGGGCUCAAGGGAUCCUCCUGCCUUGGCAUCCCAAAGUAUUGAGAUUACAGGCAUGAGCCACCAUGCCUGGUCCUAACAUCAUUUUUUGGAUACUGCGCUUACUUCCUAAGAUCAAGAACAAGGGGGAAAAAAACCAUCUUUUCGAAGAUUAAAGAAUUUUUCUGUGGCACCGCAGAGCUGAGGAGCGAUUGGACACUGAAUGAGGGGUAUAGUGAAUCUGGCUCCGAGAGAAGCCCUCUAAAUGGAAUAGCAGCAGAAAGGAGAUGUGUGUAUGAGUUCUGCAGAAGUCCACCAAAUGUGGGCCAGGGUUAUUUCCCUGGUGAUGCUCUGAAGCUUUUGCCAAAGGACAAAUGGAAACAGGAAGUACAAUCAUGCACUGGGGUAAAGAAGAUUCAUCUGCUCUUAGCUACCUACCAUGCCAACACUCCUGAGAAAGCUCACAGAGGCCCAUGAUGCCCACCUGGAUCUGAGGACCUAGAAAGCCACAACAGGCAACCAUAAUCUGGGUCUUCCCUCAGCCAACUCCCCUGCAUAAAGUGAAUGAAUGAAAAACCCAUCUUAUAUUAAUCAGAGUUCUCUAGAGAAAAAGAACCAAUCAGAUGUGUAUAUAUAGAAAGAGAGAAUUAUUUUAGGGAAUUAGCUCACAUCAUUAUGCAGGCUGGUCAAUCAAAAAUCUGUGGAGUGGGCUAGCAGGCUGGAGACCCAGGGAAAGGCUAAAUUGCAGUUUAGAUCAGAAGGUCAUCUACUGGCAGAAUUCCCUCAUCUUCCAGGAAGGUGGAUCUUUUUCUACCAAGGCCUUCAGUUUAUUAGAUUAGGCCCAUGAACAUGCUGGAGGGUAAUCUGCUUUACUCAAUACAUACUGAUUUGAAUGUUAGUAUCAUCAAAAAGACCUUCACAGAAACAUCUAAAAUAAUGUUUGACCAAAUGUCUGCAUACCAUGGCCAAGCCAAGUUUACACAUAAAAUUAAUUAUCACACAUCCCACGAACACCAUCCCCAACAGAUGCUCAUGAGCAUUGUGGUUAUGAUUUCAACUUCAGAAUAAGGCAGAAAUGUGUACAAAUCCUGACCCUUUGACUUAUCAGCUCUCUAAAAAUCAUUAUAUGUCAACUUUCUAGACUUUACCUGAAAAACAGAAACCAAGAUACCCACAGCAUAAGAUUGUUAGGAUUGAAGAAAUUGUUACGAUUGUUAGGUAUGAAGAAAUUUAAACAAUGAUGCAGCUGAGAUAUUUAGAAUUGUACCUGGCAUGUACUUUGUAUUAAAUAACUAAUAAGGCCUUUUUCUGGUGAAAACAAAAUAAGCCUGGAUAAAAGAAGAUGAGACCAGAUUGGUUGAUGGCUCGGCCUGGGUGGGCUCCUGGCCCAUCUGAAAUUACAUUACUCUUAUGUAGUGCCUUUUUUGUUAUUGCUAAAAUAAAAUAAAUAAAACACUCUACUUUCAUACUUUGUAAAAUGCACUUCUCAUUCAGUUCCUCUUCCUGUGCCUUUUCCCUAUUGUCUAUCUGCACACAGCUGUUUUCUUCUGCACAUUUUCAUCACAGAGAAUUACCAGGUGUAGGUCAAAAGAUGCCACAGAGAUAACAAAGGAAAGGAAAAGCUUUUCUGCACUUCUAUCCUUGUAAGCACAAAAAUUAAUCACACUUUCAGUAAACAGGUCAGGUAAGUCAGUCCUGCACUUGAACCUUUUCUCCCCAAAUAAAUAGUUGAAAUGGGAAUGUCGAUUUCUGUAUUUGAACAGAAAUGUAUUAGUGUAGCUUUCAAAAGAAGACUACUCUCUCCAUAUGAAUAUCAUCAGACCCACAAAUACACAUAUGCAUACAUUCACAGUUCAUCCUAACGCUGCAGAAUAUUCUAAGAGUAACACAUUUCUGUACAAAUCAAGCAGCAGCUUUCACUUGCAUGCUAAUCUUCAAAUUAAUUCUGCAAUGAUCCAUUCAUUCCACAUCCCAACCUACAUCCUCAGAAAAACAAAGAUGUAAGUAAGGAACUCAGUAUAACAUGUUUGACUUUAGACACUACUCAAAUAUACUCAAACUUUAUAUGAAUAUGGAUAUUGCUCCUAGAUUAGGCAGUUCAGAAAACAAAUCUUGAUUAUUCUUAGUUACAAUGUAGUAUAAAAUAACAACAAUUUCAUGUCAACAACAGAAUCUCCUAAAAGAUCUUAUAAAGAUAAAAAGUCUUAGGUGUUAGUCGUCAAAGACUAAGUUGUAAAUGUAUCAUUGUAUUUGUGUAGUUAAUAAAACCCUAGACAAGAUAUGGGUUCCAGUUCUUGAACCACCACCACCUGUUCACCUUAAAUAAGUCAACUAAC
rnacentral:lncRNA from 1 species